AACGAACGCUGGCGGCAUGCCUAACACAUGCAAGUCGAACGAGACCUUCGGGUCUAGUGGCGCACGGGUGCGUAACGCGUGGGAACCUGCCCUUAGGUUCGGCAUAACUCCCCGAAAGGGGUGCUAAUACCGGAUAAUGUCUUCGGACCAAAGAUUUAUCGCCUUUGGAUGGGCCCGCGUUGGAUUAGCUAGUUGGUAGGGUAAAAGCCUACCAAGGCGACGAUCCAUAGCUGGUCUGAGAGGAUGAUCAGCCACACUGGGACUGAGACACGGCCCAGACUCCUACGGGAGGCAGCAGUGGGUAAUAUUGGACAAUGGGCGAAAGCCUGAUCCAGCAAUGCCGCGUGAGUGAUGAAGGCCUUAGGGUUGUAAAGCUCUUUUACCCGGGAUGAUAAUGACAGUACCGGGAGAAUAAGCCCCGGCUAACUCCGUG
rnacentral:rRNA from 1 species